rnacentral:rRNA from 1 species
CGGCGAGUGAAGCGGCAAAAAGCUCAAAUUUGAAUCUGGCGCCUUCGGUGUCCGAGUUGUAAUUUGAAGAUUGUAACCUUGGGGUUGGCUCUUGUCUAUGUUUCUUGGAACAGGACGUCACAGAGGGUGAGAAUCCCGUGCGAUGAGAUGCCCAAUUCUAUGUAAGGUGCUUUCGAAGAGUCGAGUUGUUUGGGAAUGCAGCUCUAAGUGGGUGGUAAAUUCCAUCUAAAGCUAAAUAUUGGCGAGAGACCGAUAGCGAACAAGUACAGUGAUGGAAAGAUGAAAAGAACUUUGAAAAGAGAGUGAAAAAGUACGUGAAAUUGUUGAAAGGGAAGGGUUUGAGAUCAGACUCGAUAUUUUGUGAGCCUUGCCUUCGUGGCGGGGUGACCCGCAGCUUAUCGGGCCAGCAUCGGUUUGGGCGGUAGGAUAAUGGCGUAGGAAUGUGACUUUACUUCGGUGAAGUGUUAUAGCCUGCGUUGAUGCUGCCUGCCUAGACCGAGGACUGCGAUUUUAUCAAGGAUGCUGGCAUAAUGAUCCCAAACCGCCCGUCUUGAAACACGGACC